rnacentral:tRNA from 1 species
UGCUUGGGUAGCUCAGUUGGUAAAGCACUUGCCCCCAAAAGGCAAAGGUCCCGAGUUCGAGUCUCGGUCCGGCAC